rnacentral:miRNA from 1 species
AAGCUCCAUCAUCGAAAAUAACUU